rnacentral:tRNA from 1 species
GGGGUUGUGGCUCAGUGGUAGAGCACUUACUUGCCUUGCACACAUGAGGCGCUGGGUUUGAUCCUCAGCUCCA